GACCUAAGAUAUGGAGUUAAUUUGCUCUCCCAACUAUAUCCCUUAGCAUACUUCUUCUACAACCUACUCAUCAACUUUAGUCUCAUAUUCUCAAGCAAUCUAAGAAGGAGUUUGCUUUUAAACUUUCCCACCAUUGAUUGAAGGAUUCGCACAUUAUUUAUAAUAUGGCUACCGUGAGCUUUUGGAUAAAAAGCAUGCCUUGCCUACAUUGAUAAUGGUAUUUUUAUCAUAUGUGCAUGAGCCUUGGCAUUAUG
rnacentral:lncRNA from 1 species